UACGGGGGGAGCAAGCGUUGUUCGGAUUUACUGGGCGUAAAGGGCGCGUAGGCGGUCAGCACAAGUCAAUUGUGAAAUCUCCGGGCUUAACUCGGAAAGGUCAACUGAUACUGUGCGACUAGAGUGCGGAAGGGGCAACUGGAAUUCUCGGUGUAGCGGUGAAAUGCGUAGAUAUCGAGAGGAACACCUGCGGCGAAAGCGGCUCUCUGGGACGGUACUGACGCUGAGACGCGAAAGCGUGGGGAGCAAACAGG
rnacentral:rRNA from 1 species